rnacentral:rRNA from 1 species
AUUGAACGCUGGCGGCAUGCCUUACACAUGCAAGUCGAACGGUAACAGGUCUUCGGAUGCUGACGAGUGGCGAACGGGUGAGUAAUACAUCGGAACGUGUCCGAUCGUGGGGGAUAACGAAGCGAAAGCUUUGCUAAUACCGCAUAAGAUCUACGGAUGAAAGCAGGGGACCGCAAGGCCUUGCGCGAACGGAGCGGCCGAUGGCAGAUUAGGUAGUUGGUGGGAUAAAAGCUUACCAAGCCGACGAUCUGUAGCUGGUCUGAGAGGACGACCAGCCACACUGGGACUGAGACACGGCCCAGACUCCUACGGGAGGCAGCAGUGGGGAAUUUUGGACAAUGGGCGAAAGCCUGAUCCAGCCAUGCCGCGUGCAGGAUGAAGGCCUUCGGGUUGUAAACUGCUUUUGUACGGAACGAAAAGACUCUGGUUAAUACCUGGGGUCCAUGACGGUACCGUAAGAAUAAGCACCGGCUAACUACGUG